GCGGAUGCCCCAGAGCAACGUGUGCACUCACUCGGGUGAGCGAGUCUCCGUUUUUUGAUUCGCACCGGCGGUUGCGCUCCUCAGAGCCCGCCUCCACCGCAGGUUCGGGGGCGCCUGGGAAGUUAUGCAGAAAAGAUGGAGAGUUGUGAAACCUGAUGUUUGAGGCAUCUGCACUUUCUAAGUGUUGCAUCAAAAGAUGUUGUAGGAUGGUCCGGAUAGAUGUGGAACUUUGUUCCGGUAGAGUCCAUCCAUUCACAAUACAGAGAUUGCUCAGAGCUCGUCC